rnacentral:tRNA from 1 species
CGGAAAGUGGCGUAGUUAGGUAGCGUUUUUGCUUUGGGAGCAAAAGGUCAUAGGUUCAAAUCCUAUCUUUCCGA